AGUGAACGCUGGCGGUAGGCCUAACACAUGCAAGUCGAACGGCAGCACAGUAAGAGCUUGCUCUUACGGGUGGCGAGUGGCGGACGGGUGAGGAAUACAUCGGAAUCUACUUUUUCGUGGGGGAUAACGUAGGGAAACUUACGCUAAUACCGCAUACGACCUACGGGUGAAAGCAGGGGAUCUUCGGACCUUGCGCGAUUGAAUGAGCCGAUGUCGGAUUAGCUAGUUGGCGGGGUAAAGGCCCACCAAGGCGACGAUCCGUAGCUGGACUGAGAGGAUGAGCGGCCACGGUGGGACGCAGGUACGGCCCAGACGCCGACGGGAGGAAGGAGUGGGGUGUAGUGCACUAUGGGCGGAAGCCAGAUGAAGCAACGGCGCGGGCGGGAUGACGGCCUGCGGGUCGAAAAGAGCAUUCGCCUGUGACGAAGCGGGAGUGAGGGGAAUGGGUAAAGAAGAAACGGAGAACGACGUG
rnacentral:rRNA from 1 species